ensembl:lncRNA
CUGAAAGAGGAACCUUGAGAGAAGGACUUAUUCGACAGUGUCUGAACUGAAAGCAAUUAACAAUCUACUGGACACUGGGAUUUCAGCAGGCAUGAAAACUGAUCAGACACGUUCUGGGAAAUAAAACCAUCGAACAGAUUUUGAAAGGACGUCUUAGUCCAUCGGGCCUUUGCAGAAGAAUCAAACCUUGAGUGACUAGAUCCUGUGAAAUCAUAGAGAUGCUGAGCAUUUCAAGUACAUUUCUCAGCUGACUGUCAAAGCACAACUUCCUCAACAACAGCAGGGCCGCUCAGAACGGAAACGUGCCCACCCACACGCAGGCGUUAGAGCAGUUGGAUGUAUGUUCUAAGGUUUACACUUGCUUAAAGCAGCACAAAACAGAAAUGCCUGAAAGAGACUAGAG